CCUUUAUUUAAUCGUGUUUAGUACAGUUUUAAUACUUACUUUAAUUUUUCAUAGGCAUUGCAAUUGUCUGAAAAUAAAAAAUCGGUAUUAAAUUUUCAUUUUCAUAUUCUUAUUUAGUCCAAAAAAUGUUGGGGUACGUUAUAUUAAAAUUGGAAACAAAAAUUUAUUUAAAAAAAAAAAUCUCAUAAGAAACUUAAAUCAAUUUAUUCAGAAAUAGUUUAUAGAAAUAAAUUAAGUUUUGUGGGAGAGGCUUAGAAUUUACGUAAUUAGAAGAAAAGAAAAGUUGAGUUGUCUUUGUGUUGUUCUGGUAAUAGGAAAAGUUUGUAGUGUAAUUGGUUGGAAAGCGUAGACUUUUGUAAGAAGACAAUUCGUUCAACAAACGGCAAUGCCUAAUCUCGUUUGAUGUUUGUUUGGGAGCUUUGAAUCAAAAGUCUAUUCUGGAGUUUCUUUAUUUAAAAAGUUCAACUUCUUACAGACUUUGUUAAUUUUGAACAUUAAUUGAAAGCUUGACCAUGCAACUAUCAUAGGUUAAUUGGAUGUCAUGAACACAAUUUUUGACUAACCAAUCCGUUUUACACUUCGUGGUAGGCCACACGACAACUAGUCUACUAGAGGUGACCAUUUGAACUAAUGUAUGUGUUACAAUCAAACUAACUAUAAUUUAUAAAACACAAUAUAUGUUUUAAAACAAACAAUGUUAACUAACUGAAUAGACCAUAAUUUGUUUAUAUUCAUGUAAUAGAAAACGUAUUGAGUCAAUUUUUAGGAUAUUAUUCGGUUACAUGUCCCCCAUUCUAAAUUUCUAACUAAGAUGUGUUCAUUUUAGUAACAUAUGAAAUAAUUUGAUGGCGAUUGACAAUAAAAAGGACGUUUUAGGUUAAUAGAUAAGUAAACAUAUAACACUUGUAAAUUAUUCUAUACAAGAUCCAACGUAAUUUACAAUUUAAUUAGACCAAACUGAACCAAAUGAAUACAGGCCAAGGUUGCAUGAUAAAAACAUAAAACAAGCACAUAACUCACAGUUAGUUAUGUACGAGUUCUCAUUGUAAAUAAAACAACCUACAUUAAGACAUUGCUAGUUAUGUUUAAUUUGAUUGAGAUCCCAAUAAAUAAACAGCAUUCAUAUCAUAUAUUGAAACUGGCCCACGAUAUAUAUCUUCCCAUAUUAAGCAGAGCAUCAAUGACGCUUCAAUGCAAGCAUCAACCACAAAGACCUACAAAUUAAACACAUCAAACUGAAA